rnacentral:rRNA from 1 species
CCCAGACUCCUACGGGAGGCAGCAGUGGGGAAUAUUGCACAAUGGGGGGAACCCUGAUGCAGCGACGCCGCGUGGGUGAAGGAGUAUUUCGGUAUGUAAAGCCCUAUCAGCAGGGAAGAACAAUGACGGUACCUGACUAAGAAGCACCGGCUAAAUACGUGCCAGCAGCCGCGGUAAUACGUAUGGUGCAAGCGUUAUCCGGAUUUACUGGGUGUAAAGGGAGCGUAGGCGGCGCGUUAAGUCUGAUGUGAAAACCCGAGGCUCAACCACGGGAGUGCAUUGGAAACUGGCGGGCUGGAGUGCCGGAGAGGUAAGCGGAAUUCGUGGUGUAGCGGUGAAAUGCAUAGAUAUCACGAAGAACCCCGAUUGCGAAGGCAGCAUACCGGCUCCACACUGACGCUGAGGCACGAAAGCGUGGGUAUCGAACAGGAUUAGAUACCCUGGUAA